UGAGGAAUCUUGCACAAUGGGCGAAAGCCUGAUGCAGCGACGCCGCGUGGAGGAUGAAGGUCUUCGGAUUGUAAACUUCUGUUAAGUGGGAAGAAAGACGCAGUUCUAAUAAAAUUGCGGGAUGACGGUACCAUUAGAGAAAGCACCGGCUAACUUCGUGCCAGCAGCCGCGGUAAUACGAAGGGUGCAAGCGUUAUUCGGAAUGAUUGGGCGUAAAGGGUGCGCAGACGGUCAAUUAAGUCAACUGUUAAAUUUCUCAGCCUAACUGGGAGCUCGCAGUAGAAACUGGUCGACUAGAGGAUGGAAGAGAGAAGUGGAAUUCUCGGAGUAGCGGUAAAAUGCGUAGAUCUCGAGAGGAACACCGAUGGCGAAGGCAGCUUCUUGGUCCAUUCCUGACGUUCAGGCACGAAAGCGUGGGGAGCAAACAGGAUUAGAUACCCCCGUAGUCC
rnacentral:rRNA from 1 species